CCAGUUUCAAGAUUCAGCUGCUCAGCAGAGCCAAUUCAACAGGGACAUAUGAGGACAUCCAGGUGCUUAGUCUUCAGGGAUGUAUGAGGUCAUCCAGUGUUCUGAGAUGUGGAACAGUCACUGUUUUGUGUUUCAGUUUCCUGAGAAAGCACAGAUUUGGCCAUUGAUAUUCAGUUCUUCUUUUUCAGAACUUUGAAACUGCAGAAAAAACAAUUGCUACUACCCUGCCUUCCAAGUCAAAAAGAGGGCUGUGAAAAUAUUUAUAGAUGCCUCACAUCCUGUACACAAAUUAUUUCAACACCUACCCACAAAAUGGCACUGUACAGCCCUGCACGGCAGAACAACUAGACAUAAGAAUAGUUUUUUCCCGAACUCCAUCACUCUGCUAAACAAAUAAUUCCCUCAACACUGUCAAACUAUUAACUAAGACUGCAUUACUAUUAUAUUAGUCUUCUCAUUGUUCCUAUCACCCAUCUCCUCCCACUUAUGACUGUAUAACUGUAACUUGUUGAUUGUAUCCUUAUGAUUUAUAUUGAUUGUUUCCUAGUAUGAUUUGAUUGCUUAUUUGUACCCUAUGACUAUCAUUAAGUGUUAUACCUUAUGAUUCUUGAUAUAUGUAUCUUUUCACUUGUAUGUACACUGACAGCAUGUGCACCAAAGACAAAUUAUUUGUGUGUCCAAUCACACUUGGACAAUAAAGAAUUCUAUUCUAUUCUUUUCUAUUCAGUACUUCAUCUAUUCAAGUGUAUAGUACCAAUGACAAAUUCAUUGCAAAAUAUGUGGAUUUGAGACAUAGACAAAAACUCUGAAUGUAUUAUGCAGAAAUUUUUAUGUUCUGCUUUCCAUAAAGUGAUAGCUUAGUGCCGUUGCCUUGCUUUAAAAUCUGAUGUUGAAGCUUCCAGGUUUUAAGAUAGCAUCCGAUUACAGAGUGUGACAGUACACAACUGUUAUUUUGGAAAUAGCUGGUGAACAAUGUCAUUUUAUCAACCUUCCACUUCAUUGUAUCAGAAAAACAUUCAGCCAGUUCUUAGAGGUUGUAUUUUCAAGCACCAGCCAUUAUAAAGCUGAUUUUUAAAUAUCCUAAUCUAAGGCAAAGCCAGCCAAUGGCCACAUGAACAUCUAAGAAGUUAAGGUUUAGGAACAUCAAACAUGGCUUGAUUGCUAUUAUUGGAGAUUCCUGGAAAUAAAGAAUUGAAAUGCUCAGAGUUUUAGCUUCAUUACAUUGGCAGUUUGAGACCAGAUAUAUUUAGCAGAAGUGAAAUGCAACUUCUAAUGAGAUGUCAAAAACUGAAGAGACUACACCGAGCUAUUUUGGAGGUGUGGGCUAUAGUGGAAAAGAGGGUUGGUUUUUUUUCCUUUUCUUUUCUCUUUUGAAAAAAGUCAAACAUUUUUUUUGGCAAAUCAGGAGUUUUAAAGGCUUCGCACAGAACAAUUACAUACCAGUUUCAAUGAUAAUACUACAAGAAAUAGGUCAGAAUAAUGGUCCUAAUUACCACAACUCAAUCUGUUUUGGGACUUGCAUAUUUUUUUCCUCAACUCCGUGACAUUUAGUGAGGUUAAAAAAUAUGCUGAAAAUGAGAAUAGCUUUGUAAAAUGGGAAAUGCAAUGCACCUGAUGUAUUUUCAAGUGCGGGGGAACAAUUUUGUCCAAAAUACCACUGGGCAAAGAUAUUUUGUCCUUUCCAUAUAUGAAGAUGCCAAGUAUUUCCUUGCCUUCAAUUUAUGAUUGCAUACUGAAUUUCAUGGGCAGAAUGGGGUGACAAAUGGAUUGAUUGAUCAGGAACUUCCAAAUGAAGUGUAGGAACAAAGCAGGAGUUGCACUAGCAGAUUAAAGCUGAAGGACACAUUCUAAAAGUAGAAUAGAAUAGAAUAGAAUAGAAUAGAAUAGAAUAGAAUAGAAUAGAAUAGAAUAGAAUAACAGAGUUGGAAGGGACCUUGUGGGUCUUCUAGCCCAACCCCCUGCUUAGGCAGGUAACCCUUCAGACAAAUGGUUAUCCAACAUUUUCUUAAAAAUUUCCAGUGUUGGAGCAUUCACAAUUUCUGCAGGCAAGUUGUUCCACUUAUUAAUUGUUCUAACUGUCAGGAAAUUUCUCCUUAGUUCUAAGCUGUUUCUCUCCUUGAUUAGUUUCCACCCAUUGCUUCUUGUCCUUCCCUCAGGUGCGUUGGAAAAAUAGGUUGACUCCUACUUCUUUGUGGCAGCCCCUGAGAUAUUGGAAUGCUGCUAUCAUGUCUCCCCUAGUCCUUCUUUUCAUUAAACUAGACAUACCCAGUUCCAGCAACUGUUCUUUGCAUGUUUUAGCCUCCAGUCCCCUAAUCAACUUUGUUGCUCUUCUCUGCACUCUUUCUAGAGUCUCAACAUCUUUUUUACAUCGUAAAAAAGUUCGUAAAAAACCUUAGGAUGACAGACAAGUCAGAAGGUUGAUCAAAGAACAAAAAAAGUGUAUUGAAUAAAAGACGCAAGAUACAAUCAAACCUCAAGAAUGCAUCUUGGUCUUCAGAUAAGGCUGAAGUGGAGAAGAAAUCCUCCAACAUUCAUUGUUCAAAUGAGUGAGGGAAAGAUUGAAGGCAAACAAGGCCCAGGCAGAAGAAGAACAUCAUGGCUUCAAAAUCUAAUGGACUGGUUUGGACAAAACUCAGCAGCACUUUUUCGUGCGACUGUUGAUAAAAAUAGGAUCGCCAACAUCCGAUGAUGGAUAUGGCACAAGAAAAAGAAGAUAUAAGUAGAGCCAAAUCAUGCCAUUAUGAAACUGAGUGGCAAUACAAGAGAAUCCAAAAACCUCCAACGAGAUUCCUUCCUUCCACAUCAAAAACUGGUCAACAUUAAUCUAUGAACAAAAUGCUGAAUUAGUUCAUUUUCUGGUAUAUUCUUAUUUGUGUCAAGUAGAAUUUCUUUUUGUGCUAGCUUUUUAAAAGAUCAAUAGGUACAUGCAUUAAAUUAAGAACAAUGUGUUUAUCAUUUUCAAUAUAUAUGGACACUAACAGAAAUAAAGUUACUAGUAUGCAAUCACAUUCCAGAAUCCAGACCCAUGAAUGGGUUUCCUUGUAUUUAGCUCUUGAAAUCUCACAAAAUACUGAAUAACUGUGGCUCUACCAUGAGCUUAAACUUCAAUAGGGCUGACUCUUCUCUAAACUAACUCAUGUAAAAAUAAAUGGAUAUAAGCCGAAAUUGUGCAUGAAUGCAUAGCAACAGUUUAAAAUGUUGCUGUGAAUAUUGGGUGUUUGAUGGGCAUUGAUAGCUGAAUACAUCAUACUUUUAUCUUUUGAACAAAGCAA